UGGCUUCCCCAAUCACGUGUGCCCCC
rnacentral:piRNA from 2 species